rnacentral:rRNA from 1 species
GAUGAACGCUGGCGGCGUGCUUAACACAUGCAAGUCGAACGCUGAUGCCCAGCUUGCUGGGUGGAUUAGUGGCGAACGGGUGAGUAACACGUGAGUAACCUGCCCUUAACUCUGGGAUAAGCCUGGGAAACUGGGUCUAAUACCGGAUAGGAGCGUCCACCGCAUGGUGGGUGUUGGAAAGAUUUAUCGGUUUUGGAUGGACUCGCGGCCUAUCAGCUUGUUGGUGAGGUAAUGGCUCACCAAGGCGACGACGGGUAGCCGGCCUGAGAGGGUGACCGGCCACACUGGGACUGAGACACGGCCCAGACUCCAACGGGAGGCAGCAGUGGGGAAUAUUGCACAAUGGGCGCAAGCCUGAUGCAGCGGCGCCGCGUGAGGGAUGACGGCCUUCGGGUUGUAAACCUCUUUCUGUAGGGAAGAAGCGAAAGUGACGGUACCUGCAGAAGAAGCACCGGCUAACUACGUG